CUACGGGAUGCUCCAGUAGGGAAUUUUCGGCAAUGGGCGCAAGCCUGACCGAGCAACGCCGCGUGAGUGAUUAAGGCCUUCGGGUUGUAAAGCUCUAUUGUAAAGGAAGAACGAUCAGUAUAGGAAAUGAUACUGGUGUGACGGUACUUUACCAGAAAGCCACGGCUAACUACGUGCCAGCAGCCGCGGUAAUACGUAGGUGGCAAGCGUUAUCCGGAAUUAUUGGGCGUAAAGGGAGCGUAGGCGGUUUAUUAAGUCUAUGGUGAAAGUGCGGGGCUCAACCCCGUAUGGCCAUAGAAACUGAUAGACUAGAGUGCAGAAGAGGGUAGUGGAAUUCCAUGUGUAGCGGUAAAAUGCGUAGAUAUAUGGAGGAACACCGGUGGCGAAGGCGGCUACCUGGUCUGUUACUGACGCUGAGGCUCGAAAGCGUGGGGAGCAAAUAGGAUUAGAUACCCUCGUAGUC
rnacentral:rRNA from 1 species